rnacentral:rRNA from 1 species
UACAGAGGGGGCAAGCGUUAUUCGGAUUUACUGGGCGUAAAGGGCGCGCAGGCGGCCUUGCAAGUAGCGUGUGAAAUCCACCUGCUCAACGGGUGGGGUGCAUGGUAGACUGCAGGGCUAGAGGACGGUAGAGGGGGGUGGAAUUGCUGGUGUAGCGGUGAAAUGCGUAGAGAUCAGCAGGAACACCCGUGGCGAAGGCGGCCCCCUGGGCCGUACCUGACGCUGAGGCGCGAAGGCUAGGGGAGCGAACGGG